rnacentral:rRNA from 1 species
GAUGAACGCUAGCGGCAGGCUUAACACAUGCAAGUCGAGGGGUAUAGGUUUUCGGACCUAGAGACCGGCGCACGGGUGCGUAACGCGUAUGCAAUCUACCUUUUACAGAGGGAUAGCCCAGAGAAAUUUGGAUUAAUACCUCAUAGUAUAAUGAUUCGGCAUCGAGACAUUAUUAAAGUUCCAACGGUAAAAGAUGAGCAUGCGUCCCAUUAGCUAGAUGGUAAGGUAACGGCUUACCAUGGCGACGAUGGGUAGGGGUCCUGAGAGGGAGAUCCCCCACGCUGGUACUGAGACAGGGACCAGACUCCUACGGAAGGCAGCAGUGAGGAAGAUUGGUCAAUGGGCGCAAGCCUGAACCAGCCAUGCCGCGUGCAGGAUGACGGUCCUAUGGAUUGUAAACUGCUUUUGUACAGGAAGAAACAGUUCUACGUGUAGAACCUUGACGGUACUGUAAGAAUAAGGAUCGGCUAACUCCGUGCCAGCAGCCGCCAUAAAAC